rnacentral:rRNA from 1 species
GCAAGUCGAGGGGUAUGAUUUUGAGUUUACUUGAAAUCAGAGACCGGCGCACGGGUGCGUAACACGUAUGCAACCUACCCUUUACAGGGGGAUAGCUCAGAGAAAUCUGAAUUAAUACCCCAUAGUUACAUUUCGCUGCAUGGUGAGAUGUAUAAAGCUCCGGCGGUAAAGGAUGGGCAUGCGUUACAUUAGCUAGUUGGUGAGGUAAUGGCUCACCAAGGCAACGAUGGGUAGGGGGCCUGAGAGGGUGGUC